rnacentral:rRNA from 1 species
AUUGAACGCUGGCGGCAGGCCUAACACAUGCAAGUCGAGCGAGCGGCGGACGGGUGAGUAAUGUCUGGGAAACUGCCUGAUGGAGGGGGAUACCUACUGGAAACGGUAGCUAAUACCGCAUACCAUCAGAUGUGCCCAGAUGGGAUUAGCUCGGAGGUAGGGUAACGGCUCACCUAGGCGACGAUCCCUAGCUGGUCUGAGAGUAUGACCAGCCACACUGGGACUGAGACACGGUCCAGACUCCUACGUGAGGCAGCAGUGGGGAAUAUUGCACAAUGGGCGCAAGCCUGAUGCAGCCAUGCCGCGUGUGUGAAGAAGGCCUUCGGGUUGUAAAGCACUUUCAGCGAGGAGGCGUUACUCGCAGAAGAAGCACCGGCUAACUCCGUGCCAGCAGCCGCGGUAAUUC